GGAUUGUAAACUUCUUUUAUACGGGAAUAAAGUGAGGCACGUGUGCCUUUUUGUAUGUACCGUAUGAAUAAGGAUCGGCUAACUCCGUGCCAGCAGCCGCGGUAAUACGGAGGAUCCGAGCGUUAUCCGGAUUUAUUGGGUUUAAAGGGAGCGUAGGCGGACGCUUAAGUCAGUUGUGAAAGUUUGCGGCUCAACCGUAAAAUUGCAGUUGAUACUGGGUGUCUUGAGUACAGUAGAGGCAGGCGGAAUUCGUGGUGUAGCGGUGAAAUGCUUAGAUAUCACGAAGAACUCCGAUUGCGAAGGCAGCUUGCUGGACUGUAACUGACGCUGAUGCUCGAAAGUGUGGGUAUCAAACAGGAUUAGAUACCCUGGUAGUCCACACAGUAAA
rnacentral:rRNA from 1 species